UAUCAAGAAUGCCUGACAGCAGCACAUGAGGAUGCAGACAGAUUUAGAGCAUGUAAUCAAUCCACAUGGGAUGAGGGAAGGUAAGGCCUGCAAAUGCAAGACAUCUGCAUUUUCCCUCCACAUUAAACCAUAAUAAUAAUACUACUAGUACUUUACUAACUAUUAUCAAUGUUAGAUAAGAGUAAUUCUUUAAUAUUUCUUGCCAACUCCUCCCUCACUAUCAAACUCAUUAUCACUCACAUGUACCCAUUUUCCCCCCCUCUCUCUCUUUCUUUCUCUCUCUAACUAAUACAGUACUUGUUUCAAUCUCUUCCAUUGUAUUUGUGUGGGCUGUUCUUGUUUCUCCUUUUAUUCUCCAAGAAAAUUAACAUUGAAACAUUUACUAGUGGAUCUAUAGAGAUGACCCUCUUACAGUUCUUGCACUAAUGUUACUGAUAUUCACUUUCUUGAUGUUAUAAUUGUUCUUUUGGGUAUCUCAGCUCUUUCUUGUUUUUACUGAUGGCAUCGGGAAAAAAAAAGAAGAUAAGACACAAUUCCCAGCUUCCUCAGUACACUUCAGCUCCCACUACCUCGUCUGUGCCAUUUAUGGGUCCUCCUCAUCCUCAACCUCCUCCGCCUCCUCCGCCUCCGCAUCCGCCUACUCAGUCGACUUCACUGCCACCUGGCUUUUUCACUUUGCCCCCUUGUGAUCCAGUUCGAUAUAAGCCUAUCUCUAAUUCCCAGAGCAUGCACAAUAUACCAUCUUCUUCGCCAGCUUAUCGUACUAGUCAGCAUGGUGGCUCCUCAUCUAUGCCUCCGUCAUCAUUCACUCCAUACCCAAGCUACCAUGUUAGUCAGAAUGAUUAUCAUUUGUUGAUAAUCUUUCCUGAUUCAUAGACUGAUUAUCAUUCCUGAUGGGACUACUGGAUAAGCAAUUACUUUAUUAUUCGUUUGAAUUGUUGAAUAUAUUUUUAACAUAUGUUCCUAGGAAAUAUGUAAUUAAUAAUGUAAUCUAACGGAAGUUGAAUUGAUGAAUACUUUUUGCUUGCUAGAUUGCCCAGACAAAUUGAACAAAUCUCUUUUCGUAGUUGGAGGAAAUGAAUUCUACUUUGCCUUAUUGCAAGGUAAAACGUUGGAAGAGUCGCGAAUGAUAGUGCCAGAAGUUGUUGAAGCCAUCAUUCAUGGCUUUAGAAGGGUCAUUAGUUUGGGGGCUACUCGAAUUAUAGUUCCUGGCAAUUUUCUAGGUGGUUGUUUUCCAAUUAUCCUAACCAGAUUCAUGACGGACAAUUCAAGUGCUUACGAUGAGCACUAUUGCUUGAAAGAUUUCAAUAAUUUAAUAAUCUUCUUGAAUGAGCAUUUGCGGCAAGCCAUUCUAGACCUAAAGAAAGAGUACCCAAGCAUUACACUCAUUUAUGGUGACUGCUACAAUGCCUAUCUCUGGCUUUUACAAAAUGCCGUCAGUCUUGGUAUGUGAUGCGGAUUCAUGUUUUGACAGUCUCGGUUGGUACGUAUCAUGAUUUGGGGCUUGGGCAUAUGUUCGGAAUCGAAUCCGGAGGUCCCUAGCUCGAGUUAUUGCAUUUAGUUGAAAUUUGAAAGUUUAAAAGCUUAAUGACUUUGAAUGUUUGACCAAUAUUUGACUUUAUUGGUAUCGGGUCCGUAUUUUGAUUUCGCAACUCGGUAUAGGUCCAUUUCUAUAUUUAUGACUUGUCUGUCAAAUUUGGUGAGAAAAGGAGUUGGUUUGACGUGAUU